rnacentral:rRNA from 1 species
UACGUAGGGUGCAGGCGUUAAUCGGAAUUACUGGGCGUAAAGCGUGCGCAGGCGGUUUGCUAAGACAGGUGUGAAAUCCCCGGGCUUAACCUGGGAACUGCGCUUGUUACUGGCAGGCUUGAGUGUGGCAGAGGGGGGUGGAAUUCCACGUGUAGCAGUGAAAUGCGUAGAGAUGUGAAGGAACACCGAUGGCGAAGGCAGCCCCCUGGGCUAACACUGACGCUCAUGCACGAAAGCGUGGGGAGCAAACAGG